rnacentral:rRNA from 1 species
UACGGAGGGUGCAAGCGUUGCUCGGAAUUAUUGGGCGUAAAGGGUAGGUAGGUGGUCUCAUUUGUCUGGGGUGAAAGCCUUGAGCUUAACUCAAGAAGUGCCCCAGAAACGGUGAGACUAGAGUCCUGGAGAGGGUCGUGGAAUUCCCGGUGUAGCGGUGAAAUGCGUAGAGAUCGGGAAGAACAUCGGUGGCGAAAGCGCUCUACUGGACCGCAACUGACACUCAGGGACGAAAGCUAGGGGAGCGAAUGGG